rnacentral:rRNA from 1 species
GCGGACAGAUGGGAGCUUGCUCCCUGAUGUUAGCGGCGGACGGGUGAGUAACACGUGGGUAACCUGCCUGUAAGACUGGGAUAACUCCGGGAAACCGGGGCUAAUACCGGAUGGUUGUUUGAACCGCAUGGUUCAGACAUAAAAGGUGGCUUCGGCUACCACUUACAGAUGGACCCGCGGCGCAUUAGCUAGUUGGUGAGGUAACGGCUCACCAAGGCGACGAUGCGUAGCCGACCUGAGAGGGUGAUCGGCCACACUGGGACUGAGACACGGCCCAGACUCCUACGGGAGGCAGCAGUAGGGAAUCUUCCGCAAUGGACGAAAGUCUGACGGAGCAACGCCGCGUGAGUGAUGAAGGUUUUCGGAUCGUAAAGCUCUGUUGUUAGGGAAGAACAAGUGCCGUUCAAAUAGGGCGGCACCUUGACGGUACCUAACCAGAAAGCCACGGCUAACUACGUGCCAGCAGCCGCGGUAAUACGUAGGUGGCAAGCGUUGUCCGGAAUUAUUGGGCGUAAAGGGCUCGCAGGCGGUUUCUUAAGUCUGAUGUGAAAGCCCCCGGCUCAACCGGGGAGGGUCAUUGGAAACUGGGGAACUUGAGUGCAGAAGAGGAGAGUGGAAUUCCACGUGUAGCGGUGAAAUGCGUAGAGAUGUGGAGGAACACCAGUGGCGAAGGCGACUCUCUGGUCUGUAACUGACGCUGAGGAGCGAAAGCGUGGGGAGCGAACAGGAUUAGAUACCCUGGUAGUCCACGCCGUAAACGAUGAGUGCUAAGUGUUAGGGGGUUUCCGCCCCUUAGUGCUGCAGCUAACGCAUUAAGCACUCCGCCUGGGGAGUACGGUCGCAAGACUGAAACUCAAAGGAAUUGACGGGGGCCCGCACAAGCGGUGGAAGCAUGUGGUUUUAAUUCGAAGCAACGCGAAGAACCUUACCAGGUCUUGACAUCCUCUGACAAUCCUAGAGAUAGGACGUCCCCUUCGGGGGCAGAGUGACAGGUGGUGCAUGGUUGUCGUCAGCUCGUGUCGUGAGAUGUUGGGUUAAGUCCCGCAACGAGCGCAACCCUUGAUCUUAGUUGCCAGCAUUCAGUUGGGCACUCUAAGGUGACUGCCGGUGACAAACCGGAGGAAGGUGGGGAUGACGUCAAAUCAUCAUGCCCCUUAUGACCUGGGCUACACACGUGCUACAAUGGACAGAACAAAGGGCAGCGAAACCGCGAGGUUAAGCCAAUCCCACAAAUCUGUUCUCAGUUCGGAUCGCAGUCUGCAACUCGACUGCGUGAAGCUGGAAUCGCUAGUAAUCGCGGAUCAGCAUGCCGCGGUGAAUACGUUCCCGGGCCUUGUACACACCGCCCGUCACACCACGAGAGUUUGUAACACCCGAAGUCGGUGAGGUAACCUU